ACGGGAGGCAGCAGUGGGGAAUAUUGGGCAAUGGGCGAAAGCCUGACCCAGCAACGCCGCGUGAAGGAAGAAGGUCUUCGGAUUGUAAACUUUUGUCUUAUGGGACGAUAAUGACGGUACCAUAGGAGGAAGCCACGACUAACUACGUGCCAGCAGUCGCGGUAAUACGUAGGUGGCGAGCGUUAUCCGGAAUUAUUGGGUGUAAAGGGUGCGUAGGCGGGCUGUAAAGUCAGAUGUGAAAUACCGCGGCUUAACUGCGGAGCUGCAUUUGAAACUUACGGUCUUGAGUGAGGUAGAGGUAAGCGGAAUUCCUAGUGUAGCGGUGAAAUGCGUAGAUAUUAGGAGGAACACCUGUGGCGAAGGCGGCUUACUGGGCCUUUACUGACGCUGAGGCACGAAAGUGUGGGGAGCAAACAGGAUUAGAUACCCUGGUA
rnacentral:rRNA from 2 species